GGGUGAGUAACACGUGACUAACCUACCCUGGAGUGGGGGAUAACUGAGGGAAACCUUAGCUAAUACCGCAUAAUACCUACGGGUCAAAGGAGCAAUUCGCUUUGGGAGGGGGUCGCGGCCGAUUAGUUAGUUGGCGGGGUAAUGGCCCACCAAGACAGUGAUCGGUAUCCGGCCUGAGAGGGCGCACGGACACACUGGAACUGAAACACGGUCCAGACUCCUACGGGAGGCAGCAGUGGGGAAUUUUGCGCAAUGGGGGAAACCCUGACGCAGCAACGCCGCGUGGAGGAUGAAGUACUUCGGUACGUAAACUCCUUUCGAUCGGGACGAUAAUGACGGUACCGGAAGAAGAAGCCCCGGCUAACUUCGUGCCAGCAGCCGCGGUAAUACGAGGGGGGCAAGCGUUGUUCGGAAUUAUUGGGCGUAAAGGGUGCGUAGGCGGUUUGGUAAGUCUUGUGUGAAAUCUCCGGGCUCAACUCGGAGUCUGCAUAGGAAACUGCCGGGCUUGAAUGUGGGAGAG
rnacentral:rRNA from 1 species